GAAAUGACUGCUAAUACCGCAUAAGCGCACAGCAUUGCAUGAUGCCGUGUGAAAAACUCCGGUGGUAUGAGAUGGACCCGCGUCUGAUUAGCUGGUUGGUGGGGUAACGGCCUACCAAGGCGACGAUCAGUAGCCGACCUGAGAGGGUGACCGGCCACAUUGGGACUGAGACACGGCCCAAACUCCUACGGGAGGCAGCAGUGGGGAAUAUUGCACAAUGGGGGAAACCCUGAUGCAGCGACGCCGCGUGAGCGAAGAAGUAUUUCGGUAUGUAAAGCUCUAUCAGCAGGGAAGAAAAUGACGGUACCUGACUAAGAAGCACCGGCUAAAUACGUGCCAGCAGCCGCGGUAAUACGUAUGGUGCAAGCGUUAUCCGGAUUUACUGGGUGUAAAGGGAGCGUAGACGGUUUUGUAAGUCUGAUGUGAAAACCCGGGGCUCAACCCCGGGACUGCAUUGGAAACUAUAGGACUAGAGUGUCGGAGAGGUAAGCGGAAUUCCUAGUGUAGCGGUGAAAUACGUAGAUAUUAGGAGGAACACCAGUGGCGAAGGCGGCUUACUGGACGAUUACUGACGUUGAGGCUCGAAAGCGUGGGGAGCAAACAGGAUUAGAUACCCUGGUAGUCCACGCCGUAAACGAUGACUACUAGGUGUCGGGUGGCAAAGCCAUUCGGUGCC
rnacentral:rRNA from 1 species